rnacentral:rRNA from 1 species
AACGAACGCUGGCGGCAUGCUUAACACAUGCAAGUCGAACGAGAACUCCGGGUUUAGUGGCGCACGGGUGCGUAACGCGUGGGAACUUGCACUUAGGUUCGGAAUAACUGCCUGUAGGGGGAGUUCAUAAAGGUUAAUGUAAUAGGACCAAAGAUUUAUCGCUUUGGGAUGGGCGCGCGUUGGUUUAGCCAGUUGGUAGGGUAAAAGCCUACCAAGGCGACGUUCCAUAGCUGGUCUGGUAGGAUGACCAGCCACACUGGGACUGAGACACGGCCCAGUCUCCGACGGGGGACAGCAGUAGGGAAUAUUGUGCGAGGAACGAAAGCCUGAUCCAGCAGUGCCGCGGGAGUGAGGAAGGCCUUAGGAUUGUAAAGCUCUUUGACCCGAGAUGAUAAUGACAGUACCGGGUGAAUAAGCACCGGCUAACUCCGUG